UACAUGGGGUGCAAACGUUGCUCGGAAUCAUUGGGCGUAAAGCGCGCUGUAGGCGGUUGCUUAAGUCGGAUGUGAAAGCCCUCGGCUUAACUGAGGAAGUGGCAUCCGAAACUGAGCAGCUAGAGUACGAAAGAGGGUCGCGGAAUUCCCGGUGUAGAGGUGAAAUUCGUAGAUAUCGGGAGGAACACCGGUGGCGAAGGCGGCGACCUGGGUCGAGACUGACGCUGAGGCGCGAAAGCGUGGGGAGC
rnacentral:rRNA from 1 species